rnacentral:rRNA from 1 species
AUGCAAGCUGGAGCUGACUUCAAGUAUGAGCUUCUGUGGGUCAUCUUAGUUGGGAUGAUCUUUGCGCUCUUUAUACAAACAGUAUCCGCCAACCUUGGAGUGAAAACCAGGAGGCAUCUUGCUGAACUCUGCAGGGAAGAGUAUCCCCACUUCGUCAAUAUUUGCUUAUGGAUCAUUGCAGAGCUUGCAGUAAUUUCUGAUGACUUUUUCGUGUUGGGUACCGCCUUUGCAUUCAACAUAUUGUUCAAAAUUCCUGUGUGGGCUGGAGUUAUCCUCACGGUGUUCAGCACCCUCUUGCUUCUUGGGGUGAGAGAUUUGGUGCCCGGAAACUGGAGUUCAUCAUAG